AGCGCAGGCGGGAAGACAAGUUGGAAGUGAAAUCCAUGGGCUCAACCCAUGAACUGCUUUCAAAACUGUUUUUCUUGAGUAGUGCAGAGGUAGGCGGAAUUCCCGGUGUAGCGGUGGAAUGCGUAGAUAUCGGGAGGAACACCAGUGGCGAAGGCGGCCUACUGGGCACCAACUGACGCUGAGGCUCGAAAGUGUGGGUAGCAAACAG
rnacentral:rRNA from 1 species